CAUAGGUCUACACUGGUUUAAAUACAAUUAUAACGCAUGUGAUUAAUACGAAAAUAUAUCCUGAUGACGUAAUGGGUGGAGCUCUAGUGCUCCACCCGCUCCACCCGGUCCAGAACUCCUCUUCCCUAUACUACUUAGACGUCCCCGUCUAUAAGCCCAUUAUUGUUAUAUUCAGGGGAGGGGGCUUAUAAUCAGAGGUUUAUGGUAUUCAUAUACUGCAGUUAUAUUUAUGCACCUUUAAAUGGUAAGCCCCAGGGGGGGGUCUGGCAUAUGUGGGGUAUUUGAUCGAUUUUUGUUUCCCCACCCUCUGGAAUUUGAUCGACACCAUCUCCCGAGGAUGGGGAUAUUUGAAUUGAGAGCCAUCUUGCAUCCUAUAAAGGAAGACCACAUGUUGAGCACUGGGACAAAUGACUUUCAUGCCUUUCACCACAGAUAUGUGUGCCCUGCAACAGUGGGGUAUUUGAUCACAUAUUUGCUUCCCC